rnacentral:rRNA from 1 species
CCUACGGGAUGCUGCAGUGGGGAAUAUUGGACAAUGGGCGAAAGCCUGAUCCAGCCAUGCCGCGUGUGUGAAGAAGGCCUUCGGGUUGUAAAGCACUUUCAGUGGGGAAGAAAGCCUUGGGGCUAAUACCCUCGAGGAAGGACAUCACCCACAGAAGAAGCACCGGCUAACUCCGUGCCAGCAGCCGCGGUAAUACGGAGGGUGCGAGCGUUAAUCGGAAUUACUGGGCGUGAAGCGCGCGUAGGCGGUCUGAUAAGCCGGUUGUGAAAGCCCCGGGCUCAACCUGGGAACGGCAUCCGGAACUGUCAGGCUAGAGUGCAGGAGAGGAAGGUAGAAUUCCCGGUGUAGCGGUGAAAUGCGUAGAGAUCGGGAGGAAUACCAGUGGCGAAGGCGGCCUUCUGGACUGACACUGACGCUGAGGUGCGAAAGCGUGGGUAGCAAACAGGAUUAGAUACCCCUGUAGUC